CCUUCGGGAGGCAGCAGUGAGGAAUAUUGGUCAAUGGGCGCGAGCCUGAACCAGCCAAGUAGCGUGAAGGAUGACUGCCCUACGGGUUGUAAACUUCUUUUAUAAAGGAAUAAAGUGAGGCACGUGUGCCUUUUUGUAUGUACUUUAUGAAUAAGGAUCGGCUAACUCCGUGCCAGCAGCCGCGGUAAUACGUAGGGGGCAAGCGUUGUUCGGAAUGACUGGGCGUAAAGGGUGUGUAGGUGGUUUGAUAAGUUAGAUGUGUAAUGCCCAGGGCUUAACUCGGGUGCUGCAUCUAAAACUGUGAGACUUGAGUAAUGGAGAGGAUAGUGGAAUUCCUGGUGUAGCGGUGGAAUGCGUAGAUAUUAGGAGGAACAUCAGUGGCGAAGGCGAGUAUCUGGACAGCAACUGACACUGAGGCACGAAAGCGUGGGGAGCAAACAGGAUUAGAUACCCGGGUAGUC
rnacentral:rRNA from 1 species